UCGGAUGUGGUGCAUGGAACACCGUCGGGUAUCAUGGGUCUUGUUCUGUGUAGGACAAAAAUUAACCGGCAGUUCGGGGUUCGACUCCCCGCAUCCGAU